rnacentral:rRNA from 1 species
GAUGAACGCUGGCGGCGUGCCUAAUACAUGCAAGUCGAGCGAACGGACGAGAAGCUUGCUUCUCUGAUGUUAGCGGCGGACGGGUAAGUAACACGUGGAUAACCUACCUAUAAGACUGGGAUAACUUCGGGAAUCCGGAGCUAAUACCGGAUAAUAUUUUGAACCGCAUGGUUCAAAGGUGAAAGACGGUCUUGCUGUCACUUAUAGAUGGAUCCGCGCUGCAUUAGCUAGUUGGUAAGGUAACGGCUUACCAAGGCAACGAUGCAUAGCCGACCUGAGAGGGUGAUCGGCCACACUGGAACUGAGACACGGUCCAGACUCCUACGGGAGGCAGCAGUAGGGAAUCUUCCGCAAUGGGCGAAAGCCUGACGGAGCAACGCCGCGUGAGUGAUGAAGGUCUUCGGAUCGUAAAACUCUGUUAUUAGGGAAGAACAUAUGUGUAAGUAACUGUGCACAUCUUGACGGUACCUAAUCAGAAAGCCACGGCUAACUACGUG